rnacentral:rRNA from 1 species
UACAGAGGGAGCAAGCGUUGUUCGGAAUUACUGGGCGUAAAGGGCGCGUAGGCGGUUCGAUAAGUCCCGUGUGAAAUCCCUCGGCUCAACUGAGGAAUUGCACGGGAAACUGACGGGCUUGAGUUCGGGAGAGGGAAGCGGAAUUCCGGGUGUAGCGGUGAAAUGCGUAGAUAUCCGGAGGAACACCGGUGGCGAAGGCGGCUUCCUGGACCGAUACACUGACGCUGAGCGC